UACGUAGGGUGCGAGCGUUGUCCGGAAUUAUUGGGCGUAAAGAGCUCGUAGGCGGUGUGUCGCGUCGGCCGUGAAAACCUGGGGCUCAACUCUGGGCGUGCGGUCGAUACGGGCAUCACUUGAGUUCGGCAGGGGAGACUGGAAUUCCUGGUGUAGCGGUGAAAUGCGCAGAUAUCAGGAGGAACACCGGUGGCGAAGGCGGCACUCUGGGACGGUACUGACGCUGAGACGCGAAAGCGUGGGGAGCGAACAGG
rnacentral:rRNA from 1 species